rnacentral:rRNA from 1 species
UACAGAGGGGGCAAGCGUUAUUCGGAAUUAUUGGGCGUAAAGGGCGCGUAGGCGGUUUUUUAAGUCGGAUGUGCAAUCCCCAGGCUCAACCUGGGAACUGCAUCCGAGACUGGAAGGCUAGAGUACUGGAGAGGGUGGUGGAAUUCCUCGUGUAGCGGUGAAAUGCGUAGAGAUGAGGAGGAACACCAGUGGCGAAGGCGGCUCACUGGCCCGUUUCUGACGCUCAUGCACGACAGCGUGGGGAUCAAACAGG